UGCGCAGCUAAGAUACCCUAAGUUUGAGCUCCCCCAAAAUUCUUCCCUCCUGGUCGAUGCCACAGCCACCAUCCCCUCCGGCGCUGCCAUACCUCCAGUCACUAAACAAAUAUCAAAAAAUACUUGUGAACGGCAAUGCACUCAUUUCCCCCAAUUUGAGGUCUCCCAAAAUCUCUCUCAUAGUAUACAACACACCAACCUAUCCCCUCUGGUCAGAAUAUACCGGCGACCAUUUUUCUACUUACUGCAGUUGAAGCCUCGAGAAAUGGGAGCCUGGCGGGGUUGAUUUCAACUUCCUACUCCGAGGAUAAUAGCUCUGCUGUUCGGGUAUUUGCCUACGACCUCCAACGACAAUCUUGGCAUUUUCGGAGUCUUGUGAACCUGAGGUGAGAGGUACAAAGCCUUAAUUGUUGACUGACUAAUUGUGGUGUUCCAUCAAUCUAAAAACUCAUUUUAUUGGCUUCUUAAUAAAUUUUAUCAUGUUGGAAAUAUAAGUUGUUUGAUUGAUCUAUGCUUCUAUCGUUAUAUUGCUAGUUGUUCGGAUAAAACUAGAGUGUAGCCAUCGACUUACAUGAUCUUUUCAUGGAAAAGCACUUUAAGAAACCCAUGAUGACAUCUCCUACAUUUUAAUUAGUUGAGUGGUUAUGGUGAAAACGAUGGAUAAUAGCACAAACAACCAGCGAGUUGAAACAGACUUACUGAAUGGCUGUAAAAAAUUAUAAAUGGAUGUUGUGUUCUUUAAUAUUACAUUUUCUUCUAUCUUGGCUGUAAGCUAACUAGGUACCUUUUGAAUGAAAUGCUGAAGGAGACAAAGUUGAACUGGCUUAUUUGUAAAUAACAAAGAAAAAGAUGCUUCCAAGGCUUAGUUACUGAUAUGACAUCCUUUGGUGGAACCAAAAUGUAACAGAUAACUGCACAUCUUAGUAUUAGACAUUUUUUGCUCCAAGUUGUUCUUUUGAUUGCAUUCCUAACUCCUGAUGUACAUAACUGGGGAUUAAUUCAUUCUGGUUAGUGUUUACACGUGAACUAUGAUGUAUGACAAUGGGUGAGGCUAAUUUUCAUGUCAAUUUGAUUUGUUAUACAUAUUAGCAUAGGAUGAUGUGGGUAUGUUGGCACUACUGAUAACAAUGAGUAAUGGAGAAGUGUAUUUGCAAUUGAUUUAUUCCACAUGUUGCAUCUUUUUUGAACAAUUUGUGGUUUAUUUAUACAAUGAUUUGUACAAUUGAUUUACGUGCGUGUUUCCCAUCUAAUGAUAUCAAAGGAAGGAAUGCUAAAAUUUGUCACAAAUGUAGAAGCAAUGGGCAUUUUUUCGGUGAAUGCCCAAGAAAAUGUCAUUGCCCAUUGUGUGCACAUGGAUUUCAGAAAUGUUUUUAGGUCGAACGACAAACACGCAACAAGGGUCGCUAUUUAACACAUGCAGUAAUAAAUGUAGAUUUUUUGAAUGGGUUAACAAGGAGAGUCAAGUGGAGACGAGUACAAUUAAUGAAGCUCUCAAUAUUGCAACAAAUGAGGAAGUCAAAGAUUUGCCAAGUAUGUUCGACAUUCUUGCUUGAAUAUUCGACGAACGAGACUUAGAGAUUAACUUGAAAUUACUUUCCGCAAGGGAAAAGGAAGUUCGGAAGGAAAUGGAAAAGUAAAGUAGGCCUCUUGAGUAGUUGUACUAUGUUGAACAUGUUAAUUGAAUUAUGUUUGUACUAGAACAUAUGAAGGACAUAACUACGUAUGUUUCAUCGGAAAAUGGGUGUUAUGCAAUGUAGGUUUAUGUGUAUUUCUUAUCUAUUGCCAAUUUAUUUUUUCAAAUGGUCCACUGCCUACUCCAUCGUAAUGCUUAGGACAUACUACACUGUCAACUAGUAGUAGUACAAUUUUAC
rnacentral:lncRNA from 1 species